UCAUUCUGUCAUCAGUUUGCAUUACAAUAGAACGUACUCGUAGAUCUGUGGCAGCUGGAGUCCGUAGCCUACAAGCGCUCGCAUACAAAAUACAGACAUCUGCGGGUUAAUUCCUCGUGCCAUCCAAACACUCCUUUGUCCAGGCUUCAGUCUUGUUAUUUACUUUCCAUUAUUAACCGCCCAUCAGAGGCAGCUGCUCCGCUCUCACCCGACCUCUCUGCUCAAGGCAAACUGACGCACUCCACGGAGGAUUAGUCGGACACAGUUGGAGCCCUUUAUCGCGCCAUCCUUGCUGACACAGAUGGUGCGAGACAGGUGCAUUUUGGACCGAUGGUCAAACUUGCAUCAAUGCAAAAGUGGCCAAACCCACAGCCCAGCUGGCAGGACGCACGUCCCCAUGACAACUGAGAUUCCCUGGGGUCCCUGAUGGACUGAUGAAUACAGGAGUAGGGAGACAGGUAUGCGUCCAGUAUAUCCACACAUAUCGAAGGGGUUCUUCUAAAGACAGAGGAUUAACCACUACUAUUGGUGGUAAUGAUGUCUUGUAUGUUCCGUUCCUCCAUGAAAUUUGUAUUGACUAUUGUUUUUAUUAGGGGAGCUACCGAAGCAAGAUAUUCAUUUCAAUUAGGUCAGUGUAAGGUAAAACAUUUCAAAUAAGAUUAAAAAAAGGUUAAUCAGGUCAGUUAGUAACUGUUCCUAAUCACCUAUGAAUUUUAUUAACCCCUUCCCUCCUGCAUCCCAUGGUAUCUUUAGGCAGUAGUCAAGUCCAAUGGUCCAGCCUCUCUUUGGUAGGGUUUUGGGGGCAGGUGUUCCAGGGGGUUGCGUUCCACUUUCUGCUGCUUGCUGCUCUGUGUUUCUCUCCAGAUAUGCUGAGGAGGAUACUGAGAUGGUGCCAGCCGUCAGAGGCCAUUUAGACGAGUCAACAACAUGACCAGACUGAUAGUGCUGUCUACAAAGCUGUUUUCUAAACAGUUGUCAACGCGGUUCAUCCUUACCGAAUUGGAACUGGGACGGGAACUGGGACCUAUGGCUUUCACCCACUGACGAAUGAACAUUACUACAAGGCUACUGAUGGAGCACACUUAUUUUGCUAUCGAUUUGUGUUAGAAGGAGACCUUUCAGUGACCUUUCAGUGAUUAUUAUUGUUAUUAUUAUUAUUUGGAAGUACCAUUGGCACGUUGCUGGCCCCUUUAAUUGUAGUCUAUUUUAUGCCGACGUCAUUCAGGACGUCAUUCAGGACCACAUUUCAUGCCAUAAGAGAGACCCAUAAAGGGUGGGGUUUUAGUGUUGUCUGAUGCUUUGGCGCUUUCAUUUCCUUAAAUAUUGUUUACCUGAGGGAGCUCUCUCCCCUCCUCUGUAAAAUAACACUUUAUCAUCCCCUUCCACACUGUUCAGCUGAUCAAAGCAGUGAGAGACUAACACCUUUCUCUGAUGCCUGCUUCUCCUCAUGCUGUCAGCACCUUUCUCUUCUCUGUAACCUUGGCAACACUUUUAACACCUUACUCACUUCCUUCUACAUCUGAUGUCUAACAUGACUAACAAGGUUGAGUCUGCUAAGAUGGCCUUCCUGCUAAUUUAAUUGAUGUUUCCCGAAGUUGACUAGGCAAACCGAACAAGUGGGCUUGCAUCCUCCCUUAAAAGAUCUUCACUUGGAAAACAAUAAAAAAGCGACAAUAGUACCGAUUGUCCAUUUUGACAUGCCGUAGCCAGUAUAAACUUACUCAAAAUAUUCAGAAUGAAUCUAAGAUAACUCAAGAAAUCCGUCAUACAAUUUGACGUUUUUGCAGAGAUCUUAGUCGCGCAAUUUUACAUCUAAUUGAGAUGUCUGGUGCAGUAUUUCUCAAUGAAAACAUUUGCAUGAAAACAUGUCGUCUCUCGUUGAAUUACAACAAAGACUUUAUUGAAGAAUCCCUACUGUUGACCAAUCACCAACGAAGGAGCGUAGAUUUCGGCUACCGACUUCGGCUUGCCUCUAGAAAAAAGAUUGAGCUCGAACAGUCGAAAAAAACAUUACUAAAGUCCAGAACUAACAAAAACAUCACAAAAUGAUGUCAUAAUAUAUGCACAAAUUCUAUUGAACUGUUUUGGCUGGGAAGCAUGCGGACGUCUUAACCCAGCUGACAUACCCAUACCACUCCAGCAGCUAAUGCUUGUUAUCGUUAGUCUACUCUGACGUUACAGGAGUGUUAUGAGGAUGUUACGACUUUAAUAGGGUUGUGUUUGUGGCGGUGUUUGGAUGGUCUCCCGAGGCCUGGUUUGUCUUGUGAUUUCUGCAUGUACUGCAACUCCCAAUAACCUCAGCUAGAGUCAUAUAGAACUAACCAACACCAGAGUAAUCCUGGUUUGCUAACCUGGACUAACAAUCUAACAGUCACUAAUCAAGCUAAUCAACCAAACUAAACCCCAAGCCCCGUUGAGGGGAGGACGGCUCAUUUGAAUGGCCGGAACGGAGCAAAUGGAAUGGUAUCAAACACAUGGAAACCAUAUAUUUGAUGUAUUUGAUACCAGUCUAUUCAUUCUGCUCCAGCCAUGAGCCCUUCCUCCCAAAUUAAGGUGCCAACAAAGUCCUGUGGUGUAGGUGUACAUUUUGAGUGUAAGAGUGUGGCUCUUAGUGUAAUUAAUUUCCUUACCCAUUGAAACCAAACCCUCAGCUCUCUUGGCAUUCCUUAAUAAAUACACUAACAAAUACCCUCUAAUACCUAACAGUACUAAUGUCUGGUAACAGACAUUUUGUUACUUACACUAACCUCUACUAUACUAACUUGUACCUCUCCCAUUUUCCUGAAACCUUUCUUCCACCAGACACAGAUCACCCAAAAUCAUAUACACUAACUAUGUAUUUAUCUAUCUGUCAUAACCUUAAGCUCAGUAAGUUGCUUGUUGAGAGGUUUUACUUUUGGCCCCUAAAGCACAACGGUGAGAAUGAUUCCAGGAUCUGGGAUGGGAAGCUGGAUUAACCAAUAGAUUUAAAGACAAAGCACACCUACCUACCUGUAGCUCACUGGGUUGACCACACACUUCUGCUCAGGGGGACGCCUAAAAACAUGUUACGAAUGUUUCAGUAACUAUGCUAAAGAUGAUUAUUUUUUAAGUUGUCCAUCUUAAUAGUUGAACAAAGAAUGGCUGACAAAUGUUUGUCCCCCUGUCCAUUGUGUGGCCAACCAGUGCUUCGUUUGUAGCCUGCAUAGACACAUGUGUAUUCUCUUAUUAUAUAAACCAAAGCAAAUAGCAACCCUUACCUGCUUUACUACUAACUGAGUGGUGACUGGUAUAUGAACAACAACCCUGGAUAAGGCCUAACACUUUGGCUAUUGAUUUCUUGCUCUUACAGUAUGUUAGUAUCUUCUCUCAGACUAACACGUGGUGCUUCUUUCAAUGAAGUCUAACCAUACUGUGACCAACUUAUCACCCAUCACUUCUCCCUGCCCCUUGGUGAGAUCAAACAGCAUCUAGUAGGCCAUGCAGUAUCGUUUCUUUACUUCCUGAGUCGUCAUGAGGAUAGACAUCCGUGUUCUUGAUCAUGUGACACUUUACUUAACCUGCACUAGAGUGAGAAAGCACUAACUAUUGGGCCAUGAAACAGCUUCCCAGAAACUAACAAACUAACUAACCUACUAAUUAACUAAUUAUCUAACAAACUAACUGAAAUGAUUAAUUGUGUGCUGAGAGUUAUCAAGUUUGGAGGUUUAUGUUCAGCAAGCCAUCCCCCUCUCUGGUGUGUGUGUGUGUGUGUGUGUGUGUGUGUGUGUGUGUGUGUGUGUGUGUGUGUGUGUGUGUGUGUGUGUGUGUGUGUGUGUGUGUGUGUGUGUGUGUGUGUGUGUGUGUGUGUGUGUGUGUGUGUGUGUGUGUGUGUGUGUGUGUGUGUGUGUGUGUGUGUGUGUGUAAUGUAUGCUGCAACUAGCUCUGACAGUCUCACGUCAGAAUUAGACGUUCAUCCAUGUUUCUCAAACAUCACAUUUCAAAUUUCUUCCAAACUUCAAAUUUCAGUGUUUAAGGCUAAGGUUAGGUAUUAACUACGAAUGGUUAAGGUUUGGAAUAGGCUUAAAACAAAAAUCUCAAAAACAACUUCAUAUUCAGGGAUUUGAACACACAACUUUUGGGACACGAGGCAGAUGCCAUUUGCUAUCUGCCAUCCCCACCUAUAACCCCCUAGAUAAACUGAAACCUACUUGAAUCUACCAGCGCUCACUGUUGCCCCUAGAGGCCAGUUUCCACAUCAUCUCCCGACGUCCUCAGACAUGGACGGACGUUGAAUACUGACUUGUAUCAAGGGUGAUCUGGCUAGCAGACCUGUGGUUAUUAAUACUAACCUGUACUGUGGAUGAUGUUGGCUGGGCUUGCAAUUUCAAACACAUUAACAUGAACUACUAUUUGCUUUGUGCACAGAGUCUGAGACAGAAUCUUCUCCCAUUUUCCUGAAACCUUUCUUCCACCAGACACAGAUCACCCAAAAUCAUAUAUACUAACUAUGUAUUUAUCUAUCUGUCAUAACCUUAAGCUCAGUAAGUUGCUUGUUGAGAGGUUUUACUUUUGGCCCCUAAAGCACAACGGUGAGAAUGAUUCCAGGAUCUGGGAUGGGAAGCUGGAUUAACCAAUAGAUUUAAAGACAAAGCGCACCUACCUACCUGUAGCUCACUGGGUUGACCACACACUUCUGCUCAGGGGGACGCCUAAAAACAUGUUACGAAUGUUUCAGUAACUAUGCUAAAGAUGAUUAUUUUUUUAAGUUGUCCAUCUUAAUAGUUUAACAAAUAAUGGCUGACAAAUGUUUGUCCCCCUGUCCAUUGUGUGGCCAACCAGUGCUUGGUUUGUAGCCUGCAUAGACACGUGUGUAUUCUCUUAUUAGAUAAACCAAAGCAAAUAGCAACCCUUACCUGCUUUACUACUAACUGAGUGGUGACUGGUACUAACAACCCCAGAUGAGGCCUCAGAAUUUGGCCAUUGAUUCUUUGCUCUUACGCAGGUUGACAUUUAUUGUCAUGAGUCUUGUCCUGAAGGCAGAACUGACCGAUUUCCCCUUAGAUAGGCCAGCUGCAAAGUCAAAAAUUGUCUAUAUUGUAAAAAUAAACGUUUUUGCUUUUUGGUCAUUAGCUCUAACAGUGUGGGUAAGGAUAGGUUUAACAUUAGGUUUAACAUCAGAUUUCAUGACUUUGUGGUUGUGCUACCUAGUGACCCCUCUGCAGAGUGAACUCCAGAACAACAUUCAUGACAAAAAACACUAACCUGAUGCUCUUACUAACAUACUGUAUCUUCUCUCAGACUAACAUGUGGUGCUUCUUUCAAUGCUGUCUAACCAUGCUGUGACCAACUUAUCACCCAUCACUUCUCCCUGCCCCUUGGUGAGAUCAAACAGCAUCUAGUAGGCCAUGCAGUAUCGUUUCUUUACUUCCUGAGUCGUCAUGAGGAUAGACAUCCCUGUGUCCUUGAUCGCGUGACACUUUACUUAACCUGCACUAGAGUUAGAAAGCACUAACUAUUGGGGCAUGAAACAGCUUCCCAGAAACUAACAAACUAACUAACCUACUAAUUUGACUAAUUAUCUAACAAACUAACUGAAAUGACUAAUGUUGUGCUGAGAGUUAUCAGGUUUUGGUUCAGCAAGCCACCCCCCCCCCCCCCCCUGUGUGUGUGUACAUUGAUUCUCAAACUGUGUGCAUGAUGCCGUCAUUGUUUUUGUCUGAAUGAGUGUUAAGGAUUCAGCAUGCUCCAGCUCGGCUGGCGCCUAGCCAAAUUCGGCUAGGUGAACCGAAUGAGUGUGCUGCAUACUCCCUUAAAAGACCUUUGCUUGAAAAUGUGAAAAAGCAGCAAUUAUACUGUUUGUCAAUUUGAGAUGCCAUAGCCAUUACACACUUCCUUAAAAUAGUCAGAAUUAAUCGAAGAUAAUUCAAGAAAUCUGUCAUUAAUUUAGACUUUUUUUGCAGAGGAGAUCUUAGUCAUGCAAUAGUACAUCUAAGAUUUUUGGUGCAGUAUUUCUCAAUUAAUAAAUGUGCAUGAAAACGAGUCGUCUAUCAUUAAAUGACAACAAAGACUUUAUUGAAGAAUCCCUACGGUUGACCAAUCACCGAUGAAUGGGGGUUAUUUUAGUCUCAGAACUUCGACUUGCCUCUAGAAUGUUUUGGUUGUGUCAGAACAGCCGAAAAAAGCCCACCGAAGUCCAAAACGAACAAAAACGUCACAUAAUGUCUUCAUAAUAUAUGCACAAACUCUUCUGAACUGUGUCGACUGGGAAGCAUGAGGACGCCUUAAGCGUGUAUGUUUUUCUAUCCGUUUUUUCUAUGGAGUAACGUUAUGCUAUAGCAAUGUUGUCUUCAUCCACUAUUUACACAAAUGACUGAUGAUUGGCUGAUGAUAAAAUUAUUGUAGAGGCUGUUUUGUUAUACUUCAGUGCGGCUUUUGACAUUAUCGAUCAUAGUCUGCUGCUGGAAAAACGUAUGUGUUAUGGCUUUACAUCCCCUGCUAUAUUGUGGAUAAAGAGUUACCUGUCUAACAGAACACAGAUGGUGUUUUAAUGGAAGCCUCUCCAACAUAAUCCAGGUAGAAUCAGGAAUUUCCCAGGGCAGCCCGUUACUCUUUUUAAUCUGUAGUAAUGACAUGCCACUGGCUCUACUCAAUUGCGGAUGACUCAACACUAUACCCAUCAACUACUACAGCGACUGAAAUGACCGCAACACUUAACAAAGAGCUGCGGUUAGUUUCAGAAUGGGUGGCAAGGAAUAAGAUCGUCCUAAAUAUUUCUAAAACUAAAAGCAUUGUAUUUGGGACAAAUCAUUCACUAAACCCUAAACCUCAACUAAAUCUUGUAAUAAAUAAUGUGGAAAUUGAGCAAGUUGAGGUGACUAAACUGCUUGGAGUAACCCGGGAUUGUAAACUGUCAUGGUCAAAACAUAUUGAUACAACAGAAGCUAAGACGGGGAAAAGUCUGUCCGUAACAAACAGCUCGGACACAGUUCAGACACCCAUGCACAAGACAUGCCACAUGAGGUCUCUUCAGAGUCCCCAAGUCCAGAACAGACUAUGGGAGGUGCACAUUACUACAUAGAGCCAUGACUACAUGGAACUCAACAUCAACAUCAAGUAACUGAUGCAAGUAGUCAAAUUUGAUUUAAAAAACAGAUAAAAUACACCUUAUGGAACAGCAGGGACUAUGAAGCAACACAAACAUAGGCACAUACACUUAAACAUAGGCACACACACAUAUACACACACACACAAUAACAUACGCACAAUACACACACAUAAACAGGGAUUUUGUAUUGUACAUAUUUGGUAGUGGAGUAGGAGCCUGAGGGCACACAGUAUGUUGAGAAUUUUGUUGUGAAUGUAUUGUAAUGUUUUUAAAAUUGUACAACUGCAUUAAUUUUGCUGUUUGGCAGCAGCUAAUGGGGAUUAAUAGUAAAAACAAAUGCACAUUUAGAACUGAUUUAGCAAAAACUAAGACCACAUUUAUUAUACAGACUCAACUGUCAAAGGUGGGUUCUAUUCUUGGAUAAAGACAAGCUUCUUAUGGCUUGACAAUCAAAUUGUGUGAUCAAACGAUGAAGCAGUUUUGCUUUGGAGGACCUAGUGUCUUUCAGAGUAGCUUCAAUCAAAAGCGUCACUAGUCAACACAGUGUCUAAGUGGUUUUGAUCCUUGUCCUUUGUGUGGUGUCACUACAGAAUUAUUCACAAAAUAUGGCUGGGAUGUUGAAAAACUGAUAAUAUUCUUACUAUCUUUUAUUUCAUGUGCUGUAUUGAUAAAACAUAUUUACCAUGCCCUUGUCUCUGUUGAAUAAACUAUUUAAAAAAGUA